GACGAACGCUGGCGGCGUGCUUAACACAUGCAAGUCGAGCGGAAAGGCCCUGAGUUUGUUGUGCGGACGUUUGGCGAGGGCGUGAGAGGAACGCGAGGAUCACCUCCCUAUAUGAGUGGUAUCUGCAGGGGAAACCGGAGCUUACAGCGGAUGAGAUCCUGAUGCGUGGUGGUGGAAAGUGAAAGCGGGUGGUGGGGGAUGGUCUCGCUGCUUCUGCGCUGGAUUGGGGGGUUGGGGCUGACCAGGGUUUCGACGGGUACGCGGCAUGAGAGGGUGACCGGCCACAUUGGGACUGAGAUACGGCCCAGACUCCUACGGGAGGCAGCAGUGGGGAAUCUUGCACAAUGGGCGGAAGCCUGAUACAGCAACGCCGCGUGCGGGAUGACGGCCUUCGGGUUGUAAACCUCUGUCGCCUGAGACGAAGCGAGAGUGACGGUAACUGGUAAAGAAGCACCGGCUAACUACGUG
rnacentral:rRNA from 1 species